ACUCCUACGGGAGGCAGCAGUGGGGAAUCUUGCACAAUGGGGGAAACCCUGAUGCAGCGACGCCGCGUAAACGAUGAAGCCCUUCGGGGUGUAAAGUUCUUUCGACAGGAACGAUAAUGACGGUACCUGGAGAAGAAGCUGCGGCUAACUACGUGCCAGCAGCCGCGGUAAUACGUAGGCAGCAAACGUUGUUCGGAGUUACUGGGCGUAAAGAGUAUGUAGGUGGUUUGCUAAGUUUGGUGUGAAAUCUCCUGGCUUAACUGGGAGGGUGCGCCGAAUACUGGCGAACUUGAGUGUGGGAGAGGGAAGCGGAAUUUCUGGUGUAGCGGUGAAAUGCGUAGAUAUCAGAAGGAACMCCUGUGGUGAAGACGGCUUCCUGGACCACAGCUGACACUGAGAUACGAAAGCGUGGGUAGCAAACAGGAUUAGAUACCCUGGUAGUCCACGCCCUAAACGAUGCAAACUUGGUGUGGGCAGUUCAGUCUGUCCGUGCCGGAGCUAACGCGUUAAGUUUGCCGCCUGGGGAGUACGGUCGCAAGGCUGAAACUCAAAUGAAUUGACGG
rnacentral:rRNA from 1 species